rnacentral:rRNA from 1 species
ACUCCUACGGGAGGCAGCAGUGGGGAAUAUUGCACAAUGGGCGCAAGCCUGAUGCAGCCAUGCCGCGUGUGUGAAGAAGGCCUUCGGGUUGUAAAGCACUUUCAGUCGUGAGGAAGGUAGUGUAGUUAAUAGCUGCAUAUUUGACGUUAGCGACAGAAGAAGCACCGGCUAACUCCGUGCCAGCAGCCGCGGUAAUACGGAGGGUGCGAGCGUUAAUCGGAAUUACUGGGCGUAAAGCGCAUGCAGGUGGUUUGUUAAGUCAGAUGUGAAAGCCCGGGGCUCAACCUCGGAAUAGCAUUUGAAACUGGCAGACUAGAGUACUGUAGAGGGGGGUAGAAUUUCAGGUGUAGCGGUGAAAUGCGUAGAGAUCUGAAGGAAUACCGGUGGCGAAGGCGGCCCCCUGGACAGAUACUGACACUCAGAUGCGAAAGCGUGGGGAGCAAACAGGAUUAGAUACCCUGGUAGGAUAGCG